UGGUUGGAAAAAAUAAAGAAUUUCCUCCUAGUUUUCUGGUUAUUUCCUUCAUAUUCCUUUAGAGUCCCCUUAUCCCCUAUCUGUCCCCUAAGAACCUACCCACCUUUAGGAAUUGCUCUUGGUCCCCUUUCCUGCAACUCGAAUUCACCCCAGGGGAAAUUUCAUAUAGGCUGUGAAUUCAUUUAACCUGUGGCCCCCAACCCUGAGGCUGGUGUUCUCAUCCUAUUCUGGGUGGGUGGUGGGGUGGUACUUGGGAGAGAGAUGGGGGCUGUAAACACCGGUGUUUCAUAUGAGUGCUAUGUUCUGGUUUUCCUUCGGGGUGUGUGUGUGUGUGUGUGUGUGUGUGUGUGUGUGUGUGGUCAGGGGACACCACAUGGGCUAUUCCUCAGGAGCUGCCCACCUGAUUUCUCUAGAGAAGGCCUCUCACUGAACCUACAGUUUCUGACUCGGCUACACUGGCUGGCUCCACAGCCCUUCUCAUCCUUGUUUCUCUCCAGUGCUGUGAAUACAAAUGUGAGCCAUCAAGAAUUUUACGAGAGUUUCCAGGAUCCGACUCAGAGUCUCGUGCUCACAAGGCAAGCACCUUAUCCGCUGAGCCAUCCCCCAGUCUGAUACCCAGGUUCUCUGUGUGUAAAGAUGGGCCCUUCCUUUGCCUUUGUGAGUCUUUGUUAUCCCAAGGAAUGGGGAGGAGAGCUAGUAGCAGGCACCUGAACCCAUUAAGCAGAAGUCAUUGAUCAUGUAGUUCUAGUGCAGGUUGGGCUCUCUGUGCUUUAAGCCCAGUUUGUCUUGGUUUCAAACCUGGCCUGCCUUGGCUAGGCACCAAGUCACCAAGUGUAGUGGCUCAAGUUUAAGUUGAUGAGAAUGAAAUAAAAGUUAAAAUUCCUGGUAACCAUAUUUCAAGCACCCACAACAAUAGUGAGUACAUUUGGGCAUUCUCUUGGACAGCGAUAGAAAUAUAGAACAUUCUAGAAUGUGCUACAGAAAAUUUACAGAGUAACGAUGCCCUGAAUGUUCCUCUGGGUAUGUAUGCCUGAGACUUUCUGACAUGCCCCUUGCCUGUGUCCAGCCACUCAUCCAGAUCUUCUCGCUGAUACUUGAAGCUGGGUGUGCCAGGCUGGGGUUAACAAGGGAUGCAGGGAGCAGUUACCCUCAAACAGCAUUUCCAAGCUCUGGAAUCUGAUGCCUUUUGUGUCUCAUCCCCUCCCCCUUCUGAUGGGCCAGCCCAGGAACCCAUAUCAGGGAAGUGCAGAGAUUAGGCAGGAUGAUGAAGGCAGGUCAGGAACCCAAGGACACACAGCAGGUAUUGCAUGUGUGCAGACUGAAUCACUCAGCUCCUCAGACACUCUGCCUCUCCCAUUUCCUUCACACUGUCAUCUGCUGGGUGAGUUUGUGUCCCUCCAAGUAAUCUCUGUCCUGAGUCACUCUGCCCCAGGCCUAAUGGGUUCCCUGUGUGAGUCUGCAAUUUCUCCUUGUUCCUUGUCCCUAAGCUAUCCCCAUAUCCUUGUGGUCAGAGGAACCGUGUGUGUGUGUGUGUGUGUGUGUGUGUGUGUGUGUGUGUGUGUGUGUGUGUCUGUGUCUGUGUCUGUGUCUGUGUGUCUGUGUUGAUACUUGUAGAUGCUUGUUCCCAGUGGUGGACAAAUUUGAGUGUCAUUCCUUAGGUUUUGUCUACUUCUUUUCUUGAAAGAAUAUCUCUCAAUAGCUCAGAGUUCUCCAAGUAGGCUAGGUUGACUGAUAGGAAGUCCCAGAGAUCUUCCUGUCUCUGUCUACCCAGUAUGGGGAUUAUGAGUGGAAGCAAUAACACAUGUCUUUUCUUUUACAUGGGCUCUGAAGAUUUAAUUCAGAUCUUGCAAGUGCGUCACUGAUGGAAUGGACUGCCCAGCCCUAGAGACAUCUUUCUAAAUUAGAUAUCUGGUCAUAUUUUCCCACCAGAAAAUACCCAGAGCAUCUCCAGCACCUUCAGGUAAAAUGGCACCUCCUUAGCAAAAUGUAUGGACCUUAUCGGGGCUCACCGAGACUGAACCACCAACUGAGAUCAUGCACAGGACAGACCUAGGCCCCUUUACAUACGUAACAGUAACUUGCUCUCCAUGUGGGACUCCUAAGAGCAGGAGCAGGGGAUGUCUCUGACUCUGUUGCCUGGCUUUGGAUCCCUUUCCCCUAACUGUGCUGCCUUGCCUAACCACACUAGAAGAACACACACACAGAGUCCUACGGAAAUUCGAUAUGCCAGGGUGGGACAAUAUCCAAGGAAAGACUCCCCUUCUCUGAGGGGAUGGAAGGGAAGAGGGAGAGAGUAGGAGGAGAGGAAGAUGGGGAAGCCUCGAUUGGGACGUAAAGUAGAUAAAUAAUGAAGACAAAAAUGAAAAACAAAAACGAAAAAAGGCAAACAAAGAAACAAAAACCCCACCAAAACCUCCCAAAUCAACCAAAACUACACGGGGCCAAAGAGGAUGAACACUAGACUGUCCUCCUUCCUUUUUCUGACUCUGCUUGGGGAUCUAAACAACUGCCACUUAGCCAUCAGUGACUCUUACCCUGAUGUCCUCUGGUCCCAGGCUUCCCUCUCUGUAUACCCUGUGCCACCUGAAGCCUCCCAGGCCUUUGGGACAGCUCUGCUGCCUGCUCCCGCCAGAUGAUUGGAUCUAUCAGAGCACGGGGAGUCUAGGACAGAGGCUGAGUCCUCCUCAGCAGUGCUCCCAAGUGCUCCUCCACCAAGGCUAGUUUCUGGAAGGCUCUUGAGGGUCUCCAGAGAAUGAACGAGGGUGACACUUGUUGGAUUUGGUUUCAGAGGCAGGCUUCACUUCUUCUCCAUGCCCCACGCAGGACAGCCUUGCAAGCUGCAGACAGAGUCAGUCUGCUGCCUCACAGUGAGGUGAGGCGGUGACUCAGGGGAUAACUGUGGGCAGGGGGGCUUUCCAGCAACCUAGUUAGCUGAAACCACACGGCAGCCUUCCUAGCCUGUGGGGUGACCUACUUCUGAAUUCCCGCAGCUUCAACGCCCAGCGGGCAGAAUGCUGAUGAGCAGGCCUUGCUGGCCUCUGGUGAGAAAGGGGACAGAGAUGGUGCUGGUUGAUUUGAUCUUGCAGAGCUCUGGGGACAGGAUGUCCUGUUCUUUCUGAUGCUGGGAAGUGGUCUGGGUAAAGGGGACUUCCUGCUAAGUCCUGUAAGUUCCCAAGGAAGGGGGACAGCAAAGUCUGUUUAGUUAUGCUCACCUAAGAGAUGCUUCAUUCGAGCCCUCCUAACUAACCUUCCUGGGUUCAUGUCCCAGUCAGAAGGGACAAAUCCCAAAGGGGCUCCUCACCCAAGUCCUCAUUUUGUGUUUUAAAGCAGAGGUGGAAACUACUCUCGGCCUUGCAUUGACUGGGUGGUCCUUAGAAACCUGGCAGUUGGUUGCCUCACCAGAGGUGGUAUAAAUGCUCCCAUCUCAGGGCAGGAGGAACCUCAGGUGGGUCAUCCAGGUGACUCACACUGCCUCAGCCCAUCCAUCCCUACAGAGAUGUAGAGAUGCCUGACAUGGCCACUGGUCUCUUCUUUCUCCAGUCUGAUCUUAACACCACAUGAGCACUUCCUGUGUGAAUCUUUCCCAAUCAAUCCCUGCCCCACAGGGAUGGCCCAGAUUUCCCUCCCAGGACUCUAGGCAGUAAAACCACACUAAUUGGCUGCUGUUUCUCUCUCACCACUCCACUCUCUCUGGCUGGGACAUCCUUGGAAGCCAGCGGCCUACUUAGCACCUGUCAGUUCAAGGAAACAGACCAUACUGGUACAAAACAUGCCUGGCCACAAAUGAUAAGAAUUUUACACCUCUCCCCUGUGUGUUUUCAUUGCAGGAUGGAGGAAGACCGUGUGGAAUGGUAGGAAUGGGCCUUUAGAAUAGUAUGACUUAGCCUGGCCUGCCUCUCUUCGCAGUGACAAGCCCGACAGGACCUCUGCAUGGCUGCUAAUGCUUGAGGUACACAAGUUAGAGGCAGGGAGGAGGUAGAGAGCUAGUUAAGGCCCGGUCUGACAAGGUUACUUGAAUUUUAGGGUUUCCUGACUUCUCUGACCCUCAGUUGACUCAUCUGUUAAAUGGAUUUAAUCACAAUGCCCACAUAGGAAAGAUGUAGAAACAGCCAGAAUAAAUGUUCAUCGACAGAAAGACGUGUAAAGAAAAUAUGACACCUAAAAUAUUUUUUAUCUAUUUUUUAUUCUUUGGAAUAUUAUGUAUCCCUCAAGAAGAAGGGAAUUCUAUAAUAGAUAAUAGCACGCGUGAGUCUUGAGGACAUUUGCUAAGUAAAAUAUGCCAGCCACAGAAAACGAACACUAUAUGGUUUCAUGUACCACGGCAUUUGGAAGUAACCACAUUCACAGACUCGAUGAAUGGAAUACCAGAAGAUGAAGAGACAAGGGACUGGCAGGAGGUUUCCCUGUAGCUGAGUGGAUAAACUAUAGACAUUGGACCGCUCGUGAGCAGUAAUUUCUGGAAUACUUACAUGUCUGUUAACACGGGCAAUCUCAUAUUGAGAGUUCUUACCACAAUAAAAAAGUCGUCUGCAUGGGAAAAACAAUAUCACCCACAUCACAGAGCUUGCACAGUUUAAGAUUGCGUGCUAACAGUAUAUGCAUUUGGUAGUUGGUAACUAUGCUUUCAAGUGGAUGGCUGGAUAGGCGCUUAAAGAGGAAGAUUCAGGCAGGUAAUGUUACACGAGUUGGGUUAUUUAGACUUCUAAUUUACUCUCCCAGCUCCACCAUGUCAUGUGAUGCAUGUCAAGGACAGAGGGUAACCUUUUUAGACAGGUCUCUUUUUUGUUUUUGGCUACCCAUGCUGGUUGGCUUAUGAGCUCCUGCCUCUGCCUCUUGUCUUUCUUGUAGGGGUUUGCGGUUACAGAUAUGCUAUGGCAUCCAUCUUUUAUGAGGGUUCUAGGGACUCGAACUCAGAUCUUCACGCUUGUGUAGAAAGUGAUUCACCCAGCAAGCCAUCUUCCCAGCCUCUAACUCACUCUUUAGGCCUUAAACAUUGUGGAAAUGUCUUAUAUUUCAUUUCUCACCAUCAUAUCGAUAACUAAGCUCUACUUUUAUGCAAAAGUAGAUUUAUGUAUUCCCAGUACACUUUUAAAGAGUCAAAAUACAUUUUUAUUUGUUAAUUUCUGGCAACAAGGCCAAUCUUAAAUAAGCAAUAAUAUGUUUAGGAAGCCUAAACUGGGAUUUCUCAACCUCACUGAGUUACCCAUCCUGCUCCCAGUUUAUGAUGCAGUCAAUCAGUGGCUCACAGAUCUUAUAGUUGCUAAAUGAUGUUGUGUUCAGGAGAGUUUGGGUUCUGAGGCUGUGAGUGAGAAGCGAACUUGAGAUCUGACAACUGCCACCUUGGUAUCCCCAUCCCUUGUCCCACACCAAAGCCCAUGAAUCAAGAAAAGCAUCCCCCACAUGGCUGCCAUUCACCUCACGUUGAAUGCAUGUCAGGUCCGUCAGUCUUAGAAAGCAUAGUGAAACGCUUAAAAACUUUGAAGAAACCUAGGAAAACUGUUGUCUGUAGCUCAAAACUGUUGGGUCUGAACUGUCACAUAAGGGGUAGUAUCGUCCCCACCCUGGGGCUCCCACCUGUCUCCAGCCUGGGGUACCUGCUGAAACAAGACAUUUGCAUUUUCCUCCUUGUUAAAGGCUGCUGACCACAAAUGAACAAGCUGUCCUUGUCCUCUUUAAGGCCAUUAUUGCUGGGGAGGAUGUCACCCUGUGGGUUACCCAUACUUCCUACCUUUAUAAGAUAGAAGGCCUUGGCUUCCUGCAGAGGCAGGAGGAUGGCCCCUAUCAGAGUAUUCUAUGGCUGAAGCAGGUCUGCUCCCCAGAGCCUCUCUAUGUCUACUGAGCAAGUCUGUGUCUGUUCUUCCCCAAGGCUAGCUGAUAAAGACACCUCUGGUCACCUAUCUGUCCUCCUGUCCCCAUGCACUAAAUAUACCACUCAGCAUAUCUUCAAGUACUGACUCCCUCAGAGAGGAUGUGGCCAUGUGGACCUCAGAUCUACCAGCUGAAAUCCCUUCUUUCUUAUGUGAACUCUACAGCACUCUCUGUCCCACCCAAGAAGGGACAAAGACAGCAUGACACAGAAUGCCUUCCCAGACAGCAAGUCGGCAAUGUUGAUCAGUGACUUGAGAUGUUUCUAUCCCAGCUCGGCACUUUAACUCCCAGGAGUUCAUUUCAGGAGCGGGCAGAAUGCUCUGCUUUCCCUGAAUUUCCUAUAAUGAUGUCUGACCUAGAAAAUAUUUCAAAUUGAUUCAACUAACAGAAAUGACUCAGCCAGUGAGAAUGCAGCAUGUGUCGUUCCGGAUCUCCUUCGUGGAAACCUCUGGAGGUCCGUCCCUCACCCUGGUGCUGCGGACUUAGGCAAAGCAAAUAUGGAAGUGGCCAUUGGACAGUCCUCAACGUUCUUGACUGUCUGUGAUGUGCGCAUGUGUGCCACACAGCACAUGUGGAGGUCAGAGGACUACCUCCGGUGCGAAUUGGUCCUCACCUUCUACUUCAUGUGAAACGAUCUCUUAUUGCCUGUUCCUGUGUGUGCCAGGCUUCCAGGCUCCCAACAUCUUGUAUCCUUUGAUGAUGUAACAAUGACAGCUGCUGGUGUCCAACUUCCCUGACAAAAUUAAAGGUGCUGCAGGAGAUCACUGGUAAAUUUGGUGUGCUGGGUGCCUGUGAGCCUGCAGGUAUCUGUACCCAGGAGGAGAUCCUGACAGAGAAGAGGCACAUGGGCCACGUGGAGAGCCAGACAAAAGUCUGGGACUCGCUGUGGCUUAGGAGAAGUCCAUUUGUAGGAAUGGUCUAGCCAAUUGCCCUUGCCUCAAAGCGCUGUCUGGUUCUGUCGGUGUGUUUUGCAACUGGGGCUCAGGGGUGAGGUGGGUGGGAUUUCAUAACAAACAUCUCAUGCCUGGAGGUGUAGGUUUGAAUUCUGACAUUAUUUCAGUUAGUGGUCCGUUACGACAGCAUACAGAGGCCACGCUGAGGAGCUGGUGUGGGUGUGAGGCUGGCUCUGCCCUUGGCAUCUGUAAGCACAGGAGUCCCAGAGACUUGUGUCCUGUCCCCACGCCACAGAGCCUGUUGUAAUGGUUUGAGUAAUAAGCCUCAUUUUAGUAUGAAAUUCGGCAGGCACGCGAAAAGAACCUGUGAGACCUGAGAUGCAGGCAGGCAAAUAAAUGGCUAGUUAGCCUGCAAUGUGACCCCAUUAGAGUAGCUGCCCUUCCCACCUGGAGGAACAAAGGCAAAGGCGGAGAAUGGAGAAUGUUUGCCCUGUGGGUCUCCAAACCGCUCGCACAGCACAUUUAAAAUGCAUUCAUCCCCCAAGUUAGAAAUUAAGAUUUUCAAGUGAAUCCCCAAAAAAUCAAUGUGACAAAUACCGUAACGGAGGGGCAGGACCCCGGAGAGUUCAAGGAAGCAUCACAGACCUCGGCAGCAAACCAGCAAACGCAAGGUACUUUCCCUGCCUUGGACCACAGUGCUUAACUUUUAUGCUGAUUACACAAUUACUAUUCAAUGUUAUUUAACACCUGGAAAGUUGAUUUGACCUGUUCAGACGGCCAGACAGUGGGAUGGGGUGUGUCAGAAGAGCUCAAAGUCUUAAAUGGCUUUCAAGCUGCUGCCUUAGAGGCAACGAGGUAGAGGGAGGUAAUAAGGAAGAAUAAACAAACAGAAAAACUAACUUAAUAAAAACAACCAAGAGAAAGGGCAAGAAACCCAGUGGGCUCCUACAUAGAGAGAAUACGGCGGGGAAUAAAGGAUAACUAUUUCUAGCGGGAAGAGCCAAGAAGAUAAGCACCAGGUAGGCUGCACCUGCCUUUCUUAGGUAACCUCUGAAGAAUGCAAUCACAGGUUCCUGUUUAUCCACACCCCCAGCUCUGCACUCCCUUCUGUGGAGCCUCUCCACCCAGCUUCACAACCUUUAUUUUACUUUCUGGCAACACACAGAGGCUGCUCACACCUGAGCUAUGCGUGCACAUGGGGCGCUUCUCUGUCACUUGCUAUUUGGAGAUUCAUUCCUAGAACCCUGCUUAUGUCUCCACGCACUCUCUUGCUUUCUAAAAGGACUGAACUGAAGCCGGGAGCCCAGAUUGACAAAUGCCUUGUGUUCUCUGUUAUGCCGAUUCUGAAUCCUCCCUUUCCAUUGUUAAAUGUGUGUGUGUGUGUGUGUGUGUGUGUGUGUGUGUGUGUGUCUAAGGUGGGAGUAAGUGUGGAUAAAGGGCAGGAAACUAAAAGGGAUCCUUGAGAUGAAAAACGGGGGGGGGGUAGGAAUGACAAUAGAACACAUUACACAUUAACUGUAAGGGAGGCAAAAGGGCAGGGGGGUGGCACUGGAGCAAGGGGCAGGGAAAUGGGAGGGAGGGGUAUGAGAAUCAAUUACAAAAAAAAAACCACGUCUGCAAAUACUAUCAGAGAACCAAUUACUUGCAAGCUAGGCAGAUAAAUAAAUAAACAAACAAACAAAUAAAUAAAUAAAUAAACUCUAAAAAUAAAACUGCAAACUUCCUUGUAUACCUAUAUCACAGGUAUAUUCCUGUGUGCUCUUAGUUGUCUUCAGAAUGUUUGCUUGCAUAAGAUUGCGCCGCCUUGGGCUUAGC
rnacentral:sRNA from 1 species